rnacentral:rRNA from 1 species
AGAGUUUGAUCCUGGCUCAGGAUGAACGCUGGCGGCGCGCCUAACACAUGCAAGUCGAACGGUUAAAGCCCCUUCGGGGUGCAUAGAGUGGCGAACGGCUGAGUAACACGUGGGCAACCUGCCCCCGCACCGGGGACAGCCUCGGGAAACCGUGGUUAAUACCGGAUACUCCGCCACCCCGCAUGGGGGCGGCGGGAAAGCCCAGGCGGAGGGGGAUGGGCCCGCGGCCUGUUAGCUCGUUGGCGGGGUAACGGCCCACCAAGGCGAUGAUGGGUAGCCGGGUUGAGAGACCGACCGGCCAGAUUGGGACUGAGACACGGCCCAGACUCCUACGGGAGGCAGCAGUGGGGAAUCUUGCACAAUGGGCGAAAGCCUGAUGCAGCGACGCCGCGUGCGGGACGAAGGCCUUCGGGUCGUAAACCGCUUUCAGCAGGGACGAGGCCGAAAGGUGACGGUACCUGCAGAAGAAGCCCCGGCUAACUACGUG